GAGUUUGAUCCUGGCUCAGGACGAACGCUGGCGGCGUGCUUAACACAUGCAAGUCGAACGGAAAGGCCCUGCUUUGUGGGGUGCUCGAGUGGCGAACGGGUGAGUAACACGUGAGUAACCUGCCCUUGACUUUGGGAUAACUUCAGGAAACUGGGGCUAAUACCGGAUAGGAGCUCCUGCUGCAUGGUGGGGGUUGGAAAGUUUCGGCGGUUGGGGAUGGACUCGCGGCUUAUCAGCUUGUUGGUGGGGUAGUGGCUUACCAAGGCUUUGACGGGUAGCCGGCCUGAGAGGGUGACCGGCCACAUUGGGACUGAGAUACGGCCCAGACUCCUACGGGAGGCAGCAGUGGGGAAUAUUGCACAAUGGGCGGAAGCCUGAUGCAGCAACGCCGCGUGCGGGAUGACGGCCUUCGGGUUGUAAACCGCUUUCGCCUGUGACGAAGCGUGAGUGACGUAAUGGGU
rnacentral:rRNA from 1 species